CAGGAUUUCAGAGUGCUGCGCUGCCUCUUUGGAGCCAUGAGUGUAAACACCAAGGCACGCUCCAGGGCACUCUGGUGGAGCAUCCCAAAAGCUCAGGGGAAGAACAGUGUGGGUGAAGGAGGGAGCAUACAAGCCAUAAAGGAAGAUGAUCUGGACUCAGAGAGAGCAGUAGAGCUCUGCUCUCAGCUUUUACUGCCACUGGUUCCAAACUGGACUCACUGCUUCCUCCAAUUCUUUCAGUCACCCGAUCAAGUUGCUUAUGUUUCCCAGUCUCCCCCUGAAACAGGCACUUGAUACCUUUCAGCUCUUUCCCUGCGGCUGCUGCUCCACAGCCUCCAGCCUGUCCUGACAGGAGCUUUCAUGCUCCCACCACCACCAGAUCGGGCAUUUCACACCCCCAUGCCUGCCGCGAUGGCCCAGGCAGCUCUUCAUCACCUUUCCAGACCUCUGCUCCAUCCUCCUGCUUCUCGUUCAGCCCGACAGCCCGCCCAUCCUGUCCCGUCCCGCCAAGGAGCAUCCCGCUGGCGAGACCUCCUCCUCCUUCUUCCUUUCUUCCCUCCUUCCCUCCCGGCGGCCUCGAGUCGCGCAAGUGAUGGAGAGAGCGUCACCGGCUCCUAGCAACGCGCCUAGCAACGCUCCUGGCAACCAGGCAACAUCUGCUCCCGCUGGACCAAUCCGCGCCGGGAACAUCUGGGCACCCACCUCCGCGGGCUGCGGCCGGGAGGUGAUGCGCUCCUCAGUGGCUGCAGGGACCCACACGAGCUGCCACCUCCACCGCCUCCUCCUCCACCACCUCCUCCACCUCCUCCAGGAGAAGCAGGCAUCGAGGGAAGGACGGGAGCAGCCCUCCUUCUGGAGCCGGGGCUAGCUGGGUAACCCUUCAGCAGUGCUGUGCUGCCAGAAAUGCUCACUGAGCCCGUGCAAGGAGGAAAUCUUACUGGAGCUGCUGAGAUCAUCCCAGAGAGACCCUUUGCAGAUUGACUCUGCAUCCUCAGAGCUGAUCUGAUUGGGGCCUACCAAAGACAUUAACGACGUCGAAAGUAGCCUACUUUAAGAGAAAAUAUGCAGAAGAAGAACAUUUACAUCAAGAUUACCAUGAGUAUUGUCCAAAACACCUGAUACUACCCGAGGACCGGACCUGUAUUCUAAAACUUUCUCUCCAGAAACUCCGCUUCCUGGAUGACCCCGAAGCCUAUCUCCGAAGGUCUGUAUUAAUUAACAAUCUGUUGAGGAAGAUUCACCUAGAGACAGAGAGGGAGAGCUAUGAAUACUUUAAGGAGGCUCCGUGCUAUAGGACUGCUUACUCUGACGCACGAAAACGGCUGAAGUUUAUGGUGCAGGAGUGCUGUUCCCAGUCGCUCUAUUAUGAAGAGCUGCAUUCGUAUCGCAUCGUGCCUUACUCUGCAGAGAACGCCGUUUACGGAAUGGGCUACACGAGCAGCCACUUGGAGCAAAAUUCUCAGUUGCUUAUUUAUAAAAUGAAUUAAAAGUAGCUGUUAGACCCA